rnacentral:rRNA from 1 species
GUGCACCAGUCGAGAAUUUUCUCAAUGGGGCAACCCUGAAGGAGCGACGCCGCGUGGAGGAUGAAGGUCUUCGGGUUGUAAACUCCUGUCAUUUGAGAACAAGGCACGCGUGGGUUAACUAGGCACGAGUGUUGAUAGUAUCAGAAGAGGAAGGGACGGCUAACUCUGUGCCAGCAGCCGCGGUAAUACAGAGGUCCCAAGCGUUGUUCGGAUUCAUUGGGCGUAAAGGGUGUGUAGGUGGCGCCGUAAGUCGGGUGUGAAAUCUCGGGGCUUAACUCCGAAACUGCAUUCGAUACUGCGGUGCUUGAGGACUGGAGAGGAGACUGGAAUUCAUGGUGUAGCAGUGAAAUGCGUAGAGAUCAUGA